GGAACAAAGCAGGUGGUAGACCGA
rnacentral:piRNA from 1 species